rnacentral:lncRNA from 1 species
AGCGCAUUGAAAUGACAUAUGGUUACAUAGAAUGGAAACCCUUCAUCACAGCGUGUACGUCAAGUUAUAUAGUAUGCGCACAGCCACAAGUCCGGUUCAGACUUCAGAGUAACCAAAGUACCAAACUGCUGCCGUAGUUACAGCAUUGAAUCAAGCUUACAAGGAGUACUACUAGAUAGAUAACUACACAUCACACGACAUGUCCAUCUCUUAUUAUUUGUUCACAAGAGCAACAUAUAGGUACUAGUAGCUGGGAAACAGAAGCACUCCUGCAUGUGCUAGUAGUAUAGUAGCAGUACUCGAUCUCCAUCAUCGUGUUGGCUUGCUGCUACCGGUUCGAAGUUCUUCCUGUGCACCUGGCCAGUAAAUGAUGAAACUGUGUUAAGAUCAAUAUAAUGGUGAGCAGAUUGUGGUGACAACUAAACGGUGUAUUGAAAUAAACCACACGACAUGAUUCAAACAGCUAGCUGUUCCAAGAUGACAAAUUAGGUUUACAGUAAUAUUCUGCUCUAGAUAUCUCAGUACAGACAUGGAAAUAUAUUCUGGAGGGACCUCUAGCGCUGCAAGAGACCCUUCAUGAGCUUAAGCGCACACACGAACCAGCGAUUCUACUUAAACUAGACUUUGAGAAGGCUUACGACAGAGUUAAUUGGGACUUCCUCACGCAGAUCCUCACCAGCCGAGGAUUCUCGCCGGUAUGGGUGCACCGAGUCUUGCAAUUGGUCUCGGGGGGCCAAACUGCGGUCUCGGUGAAUGGAGAAGUAGGGCACUUCUUCAGGAACAAGCGUGGCUUACGCCAAGGCGACCCCAUGUCGCCGCUCUUGUUCAACUUCGUCGCUGAUGCGUUGGCAGCGAUGCUGCGGAAAGCAACGGAGGCAGGACACAUUAAAGGGGUGUUGGGACACCUCAUCCCAGGGGGGAUUUCGCACCUGCAAUACGCAGCGUAUCGCUACUGCUGUUCCAGCCCGACCUCCAUAGUGUGGCUACGGUCAAAGCCUUACUGAUUAGCUUCGAGCUUAUGUCAGGGCUUAAGAUCAACUUUCACAAGUGUGAAGUGAUGCCCAUGGGAUUGGAGGCGGAUGAAGGUAGACACAUCGCGGACCUGCUCAAUUGCAAACUUGGCAAUAUGCCGUUUACCUACCUAGGUCUCCCAUUGGAUGCCAAACGCAUCAAGAUCGACGGGUGGGCGCCGCUCUGGACCAAGGUGGGAGAGCGGGUCAGUCCGUGGAGGGGGAAGUUCCUCUCCUCUGCAGCUAGGUUAGUGCUCACGAACGCGAGCCUCUCCUCGCUGCCGCAAUUCGCAAUGGGUUUGUUCCUCCUGGCGGAAGGGGUACACGCCAAGAUGGACACACCGCGGUCCCGUUUCUUUUGGGAAGGCUCGGGACCAAAACGCAAGUACCACAUGGUCAAGUGGGCUGCGGUGUGCCGCCCCAAGGAUCUGGGAGGGCUUGGGAUCACAAACACCAGAAUCCAGAACGUUGCACUCUUGUGCAAAUGGAUCUGGAAACUCUCGCAGGGAGCGACGGGUCUAUGGGCUGCGGGCCAAGUACUUCCCGAACGGGAAUUUUUUCGAGGGCGUGGCGAGGGGAUCUCCUUUCUGGAACGAUCUUCAAGCGGUACGGCCAGCUUUCGCUCUGGGAGCCAAGUUCUCCAUUGGUAAUGGACGCUCGGCUCGCUUCUGGCUGGAUCACUGGGUGGGAGCCCAUCCCCUCUGGGUCGACUUCCAGAACCUCUAUACCCUGGCUGUCAACCCGGAGAUCUCAGUGGCCACGGCGCUUGCCUCUUCCCCUCCGGCAUUGCAUUUCUGGAGAGAGUUAUCGCAAGUAGAACAAGCACACCUAACGGAAUUGCUUGAUACCAUUGCGCCGGUCACGCUGUCGCCGACGGUGGACACAGUCACCUGGGCCCUCACCCCGUCUGGCAAGUUUUCGGUCAAGUCCCUUUAUCGUAAACUAUGCCAGGGCCCAUCCUUCCAGGUGCCAAAGGGCUUGUGGAACGCGCGCCUUCCGCUCAGGAUUAAGGUGUUUUUCUGGCAACUGUUCCGCAAUAGACUGCCCACUUCGGCUAACGUCGCCAAACGCAAUGGGCCGUCGACUGGUCUGUGUGCGAUAUGUAACGUCCUGGAGGACGCGACCCAUGUUUUCUUCCAAUGUCCUCUGGCACGUUUUGCUUGGAGCGCCGUCCGUGCAGCAGCCAACUCCUCCUGGGAUCCCCGGUCAGCGUCUGACCUCGCAACCAUACUAGGCUCGUUUCACGGUGGCAACAACCAAGUGCUCUGGAGCUGUUUCGGCGCCUUGACCUGGGCAGUCUGGCUCACUAGGAACAAACUUGCUAUCGAGGGUAUCUUCCCAUCUCACCCUGCUAACAUUAUCUACAAAUGCAACCUUCUUCUGCAGCAGUGGAGUCCGUUGGCGAAGCGCAAGGAUGCUGAAAAACUGAAUCUCGCCCAAGACCGCCUUCGUCAGAUCUACGUUUUGGCUAGGGAGCCAUCUGCCACCUCUGCGCCGUGAAGUGGCCCUUUUGUCUUGCGAGCGAGCCUGCGUGCUCUAUGCUCUGCCUCCGGGCCUGUAUUUUGCCUUUGCUACUGCUGGCCUGGUCUAGACUUGUGCGCCUCCGAGCCGUCGUGGUCUGAGCCUCCGUGCUCUGGUUCGAAACUUAUGUCUGAGCCUCCGAGCUCGUGUUCGAGGUCCUAACGUUGUCUGUUACGCUGCCUAUGAUGUGGGCUUUAUUAAUUUAAAGCCGGACGCUCCUAGCGUCUUCGUUCUAAAAUAUAUAUAUCCUCUACAUUUAUGUCUCCUUUGAGGUGAUUCUAUUCUUCACCAGUUUCUUUUUGUGGCUGUGAAUCCUUUUUCAUGCCUAGAAUCUAAAUGGCGUUUCAAGUGAUACAAGAAAAACUAUAGUGCAAAAAUUAGAGGAUUAAUAAGGAGAAAAGUUAUUAAUACUAGUCUACCAACCUCUACCAUUAGUAGAAACGUCGCUUUAUCUUCUAUACUAGCUAAAAACAGAUGAAAACAUUGCAACAGGGUGCAUCAACUGAUAAUUUAGUUCAAGAAUAACACCGAUGGUUGGUGAUGAGGACAACUAAAUUUUCAGUUCAUACUAGCAAACAAGCAGAACCAACUGAAAAUUAGUUUGGACUACUUGAACAUUAGUUGCACAAUCUUCUACCAAUUUGUUGGUACAAAGUCACAAAAAGUUCAGAUACUAUACUUUGAGGAAGGGGAAGGGGGUAUGUUGAUGUGUGGCAUAAACACAGGUUAAUUACCUGAGGGAGCGAUGCUGCGCUACUCUGCCACCACGUCAAUUGCUGACCUGUGAUUCAUCCUCCACAGCGCCUGUGCAGCACGGAUGUAAAGCGGAUGAAAAAUAGGUGCGCGAAGAACACAGCCGCAACGCCUAGAAUCUCAGAGAUCUGUGGAGACUGAAGAUUCAGAGAGAUGAUUGCAAGCAAAAACGCUGCAACCAAGAUUAGCGGCGACGUUGACUGAAGGCCUUGGGGGAGCGUUUUAUGGUGAACUCCAGGCAGUGGAGCUCUCGCUCUGGCAACCGUGCGUGUGAAAAAUGCUGAAUACUGUUUUUUUUAAACGGUCCAGAAGGACCUCGAACAGCUGCCUUAAGAUUUGCAUUGCCGGAAAGCUGAGAAAGGACCCCAAUGGAAUGCAAAAUUACAACUCAGUCCAAAACCUUUAAAGAAAAGACCCUCGACGCAAGAUGAAGGUUGCAAUGUGAACCAUUAUCCACCAUCAUCAAGCUUCAUCAGUAUACCAACACCACCCCUCACCGGGGACAAACAACUUGCAAGGGGAUCUCGUUGUUGCUUUGUCGUUGACUGGAAGGAGAAGAGACGGACGUUGGGACGAAACCAGACCUGCCUCCCUUUCGACAUCAUUGAAGGGAGGAAAAGGGCCGCC